AGCGAACGCUGGCGGCAGGCCUAACACAUGCAAGUCGAACGAAGUCUUCGGACUUAGUGGCGGACGGGUGAGUAACACGUGGGAACGUGCCUUUAGGUUCGGAAUAACUCAGGGAAACUUGUGCUAAUACCGAAUGUGCCCUUCGGGGGCAAGAUUUAUCGCCUUUAGAGCGGCCCGCGUCUGAUUAGCUAGUUGGUGGGGUAAUGGCCCACCCAGGCUACGAUCAGUAGCUGGUCUGAGAGGAUGACCAGCCACAUUGAGACUGAGACACGGCCCAAACUCCUACGGGUGGCAGCAGUGGGGAAUCUUGCGCAAUGGGCGAAAGCCUGACGCAGCCAUGCCGCGUGGAUGAUGAAGGUCUUAGGAUUGUAAAAUCCUUUCACCGGUGAAGAUAAUGACUGUAGCCGGAGAAGAAGCCCCGGCUAACUUCGUGCCAGCAGCCGCAGUAACAC
rnacentral:rRNA from 1 species